rnacentral:piRNA from 1 species
UAACGGUUUCCGAGCAGUGCCGGGAGUGUU